rnacentral:rRNA from 1 species
UACGUAGGGGGCGAGCGUUGUCCGGAUUUAUUGGGCGUAAAGAGCGUGUAGGCGGACUGUUGCGUCCGCUGUGAAAAGCUGGGGCUUAACCCUGGCCUUGCAGUGGAUACGGGCAGACUAGAGGUAGGUAGGGGAGAAUGGAAUUCCCGGUGUAGCGGUGAAAUGCGCAGAUAUCGGGAGGAACACCGGUGGCGAAGGCGGUUCUCUGGGCCUUACCUGACGCUGAGGAGCGAAAGCGUGGGGAGCGAACAGG